UACAGUUGGUUUUCAUCAUAAACCAUUAGACUACUUUAAAAGUGGAUUUUCAUCAGAAUGAGCAUAAAUAUUUAAUGGGAGUAGUAUUUAGCACCGAGAUAGGUAAGUUAUUAUGAUUUCAUACCCUAGAACUAUGUGCCAACAUAGGAUUUAGAUUGUUCCCACUUCUACGUGGAUGAUAGAUAUGUGAUCACUCAUAUAGGUUAUACUCCCUGACAAGAGUAUGACUCCUCCC
rnacentral:lncRNA from 1 species